AGCCGCUGCCGGAGCUCCGACAAGAAUGGGUAUUGAUCUCGUCGCCGGUGGCCGUAGCAAGAGGGUCAAGCGCACAGUUCCCAGGUUUGACAAUGUUUAUCUCAAGCUUCUCAUUAAGCUUUAUCGGUUUCUUGUGCGGAGGACGGGGAGCAAGUUCAAUGCCGUGGUGUUGAAGCGGCUUUUCAUGAGCAAGACCAAUCGGCCGCCGAUCUCGCUUCGUAGAUUGAUUAAGUUCAUGGAUGGGAAGGAGGUGAACUAAUCAUCUGGAAGUUACACACAUCUGAUGAUGGUUAUACAUGGAAAGUACUCAAGACAUUAUCAUUUCAUCAAAAAGACAUUCUUGAUGUUCAAUGGUCUGUUGAUGGUGCAUAUCUUGUUUCUAGUUCAGUUGAUAAUUCAUGUGUAAUUUGGGAUGCCAAUAAAGGUUCAGUCCAUCAGAUUUUGGAUGGUCAUUUGCAUUAUGUUCAAGGUUUCGCUUGGGAUCCUUUAGGCCAGUAUGUUGCUUCUCUUAGUUCAGAUAGAACAUGCCGAGUAUAUGUUAAUAAACCUCAAGCUAAAUUGAAGGGUUAUGAGAAAUUGAAUUAUGUUUCUCAGCAUGUUAUCACAAAGUCCGAACUACAAAGACAGGAAGACUGUAAGCCUCCUUCCAAAUCCCAUCUAUUUCAUGAUGAGACAUUACCAUCCUUUUUUCGGAGAUUAGCAUGGGCACUAGAUGGAUCAUUUUUGCUAGUACCAGCUGCACAAGUUUCCAUAAAAGUUUGACCAGAUUUAUGAGUCUAUCCUUUUUGAGGUCUGGAGAGUCUAGGUCUGGAGUCUGCUUCCCAUGCCCCUCACACUUCAAAGGAUGUUGAACAGCCUCAACCUGUCGAUCAUAUUGCAACAAAAUAAAUGUGGUGUUUUGGAUUACAUUAGAUACUUGGACUAUUACAUUUUGUAUUUGUUUGUUGUAUUAGAUGUUUGAACUAUUAUAUUUUGUAUUGCAUUGUUAUUUUA